UUCGACCUUUCAAUAGAGAGCUGAUUUUGGAGAACGGCUUAGUCCUGUGAUUGAAAAACUCUUUCUGGAAGGUUGAUGGAGCAGGAGCAUGAGCAUUUCAAUUGCUGUCCAUCACUUCCUCAGAAGCCUCAAUAUUGCCAUUCCAAAUGACUCUUUGUUUGUUGAUAUGACUGCAGUGAAGGACUGGUGCACCUCCUACAACAGAACAUGCAAGUCAGAGCUCUUGUUUGGAGGGGGCCUAGUGGAGAGACCUGGUGAAGUUAUCUGUACACACAAUCCCCUGCUUUUACUGAGGCCUCCUCAGUAAUUUGUCCCCCAACAACAGCUGAAGACAUAAGGAUAGAGACCCUUUUAGCAGAGGCUGUCCUGUUGUAUUACUAUAGGAGCAAACACUGGAAAGAAGGGAAGGAAAACUUACCAAACUUUCCCACCUGUGGCCUGCAAAACUGCUUUGUGCUUACACAGUCCUGUUAAUUUAAGAGGGUGAUUUCAUCCUGCACUGGCUCUAAGAUUCUUCACAGUGGAAAGAAGUACUCAGGUUGAAUCUGUGGGAAUCUUUCAUUGAGACAAUUGAAAUUGCUGCAGUGAGAAUGGAAAUUACUUGGGAUCCUUUCCUUUUAAAAGCUGUAUGCAAGAACUGUGUGAGAUAAACCUGCAAGGAUGCACUGUCUCCAGUGGUGGAAUGGAACUCUCCUACAUUUGCAGCUCUGAGGUCCUAUGGAUUUUGCCUGAUUAAAGAAAGAAAGGUGUAUUAUAUUCAGUCCAGAUGCUGCUAGUUUAGGAACUGUGAGGGGAAGCAGAUGCUUAAUUAUAAAUAAGGGAAAUAAAAGAAAGGCCUGCUUGAAAAUAUCUUGAGAUUAGUUGCUAUUCAAGAGUGAAGACAGCUGGUGAGAGGAGCAUGUCUGAAACUCCUGUGUUUGAAAGAUUGGAGCUGCAAACUGGUAGGGGAAAGAGAUGUGAAAUUGGAAAGUUGGAAGGACUGGUACAGGUUGGGCAAUGAUUUAGGGAUUCAUUUGUUUCUUGAAGAUGGAAGAAGCAGCAGCUUAGCAGAAGGAACCCUGCCUGAUACUGUAAAAAGAAAGCAGGGGAAAGCAGGUCAACGUUAAUGUUUAUUAGAAUGCUUAGCACUUGAGUCAGGCUGCGACAUAGCAGUUUUUGCUAUGAAAUCACUGUCCCUUUCAUUUCUCAUCCAAAUCCACAGAGAAAAGGGUGUCUUUAUUACUAUAGUCAGCUACUUCAUGAAAUUUCAUCCUGAAAUUCAAAAAUUACAAAGUAGUUGAUGUGCUACUGGAGAUCAUCUAGCCGAAGCAGAAUCAGGCAGAACAGGCCUCUCAGGGGUGUAUCUGAUCUUAAUUUGCCCCCUUGUGUUAGUCUACUAUGAAGCAAUCUUCAUGAUCAUAUGGAAUAUUCAAUGAUAGGACCAGUGUGGUGUGCUGCUGAGUCAGGGAAGGUGUUUGUAAGGCUGUACAAGGAAGAAGUUCAACUCUGCCACAGAAAUAGGUUGAAAAUUCUGUAGGGAAUGGACCAAAGUCUACAAGCAGAAGAAACUUUGUCUUUAUGUUUACGUGAAAUGAGAAAUCCUAGGAAUUAGAUGUUACAUUUAUUUUUCUGGUUUUAUUUUUGUACGGUGUACAAAUUACCAUUGAUUUUUGUAGUGUUAUGUUCCUCACUUCACAAGUGGCUUUAAGCCAUCAAGUCCAAUGGAAACACUGGAUGUCCACGUUUGCAGCUGAUCUGCUUAAGAACUGCAAACAUGAAUUUAAACUUUGUGUAAUGUUAUGUCUGCCUGUAGUCUCCUACAUAUUUCAAGUGGAAUACCUCCAACCGUUGGGUACUACUGUAGUUUCUAUAUCUUUGUGUCACGUUUAAAGUAGGGAUGAUAGUCACUCGAAGGGUUGUUUAUCUAUUUUUGCUUAUUUCAAGCUUUGUCUGUUAGUUGUGCUACAGGGAUGUGUUUCCUCAUGGGAUUUUCUAUGGCAUUUAUGACUUCAGAUCACAGAGGAAGAGAUGAAUUAUAAUCUGGUAUAACAGUUGACAGUAACAAGAGAGGGCAAGGAUAUACGCUGUGCUUGAAGAGGAAGAAUGGGAAAGAUAACAGACCCAAAGUCACUAAGCCUGUUUUCUACGAGGUCACUGAUGCUAUGAAAUUCUAAAGCCUUGCAGAGAGAGCACAGAAGAGAGACCCAACCAAACACGAAAACGAACAUCAAGAACAGUGUUUCAGACAGUCAGGAACAUUUUUAAGAACAACAUGACAGAAAUCAAACAGGGUACUUCAGAGCUGGAAAACAUAACAUUAAGCUAGCAGAAAAAAGGAAACAUUUUUUUCCUCUGACAAUUGUCCAACAGCUUCUUCACAAUGAGCUUGCUAAGUGUGCAGAGCAUAUUCCAUGAAGGAGAAGCCAGGAAGCUGUUUCUAUCAUGAGAAGUCACAUUCAGGAGAGUACCUGGCCACAAAGCGGUCACCAGCAGAGCAGUCGGUUCCACACUGAAAAACCAUGUCGUGAUGAGAAGGUCUUUCCAAAGGAAGUGGAAUUAGUGGUUUCUGAGAAGGAAAAGGACUGCUCCAGCCCUGCCCUGGCAGCUGCCCCGUAAGCACAGUGAUCUGCUCAGCCAGUGUCUCCACGGUGCUACUGCAGGAACCGAAGAUCCGGAAAAAGGCCUGCAUCUCCUGGAGGAAAAAACGCACCUCCAAGAUCUCCAGCCUCGGCUUCAGGAGGUGUUCCUGGCCCAGGAGCUCAGCCAGAGGGUACAGCUCAUAGAAUUCCGCUUCUCUGCGCAGCCUCUGGAAGUCUGAAAAAUCAGCAGGCAGAGAGACCUGAAGAGUCCUCAAGAAGUCCAUGAUGUAACUGAACAAAGCGGCAUCUCUGUCCACAAAAAACUCUCCGUUCACCAGUUUAAACUCUGGGUCGUCACCACCCAACAUGCGUGCUAACCUGGACUCGGGGAACCGCAGCAAGGUGCAGGGCCGGGUGACAAACCUCACACCUCCCACACUCACAGCAACCACCUCUCGACCGCUCAUCGCUACCUCAGCUCCGCUCCGUAUGUCUGUGACUUGAUCUCUGCUACCCCACAGGCCAUCUGGAGCAACGUGUGGGGCAGCAGCAGCGCUCCCAGGUAACAAAGAUGUAAAUACAAUACUUUUGUUUGCAGGGCUUGGUUGCUUGGAAACUUUGUUUCUUGGAAUUGAAGCUUGCAAGGACUACUGGAAGACAGCAAACUGAUCAUCACAAUAUAUUAAAUCAGGAUAGAGGCCAAGGAACAUCCCCAAAGUAUGGCACCCAUUUCUUUUCUUUCCUGGAAACGUGGACAGAAUGCUUUUAUUCUAUAUAUUGCUGUUCAUAGGACUACCGUAAGAAAAAGGGAGAUGUACUUCAGGCCACAUAUUUCAGGAUCAUAUGCUCUUAAAGAAGGGCACUUCAGCAAACUCAAGCUUACAGUUCACUUAAAGCCACUGUUAUCCCACAAGCAAGCCAGUAACACCCAUAAAACUCAAUUCCCAGUACAUUCAAAGAUCAUACCUAUGUCUUCGAUGUUAAAACACCAACAACAUCGUUAUUCCCAAGGCCCUACACACCAUUCCAAGCAAAUCAUCCCAUCUUUUUUCCUGGCUCUCAGAAUUACAAUCUGGAUCGACACAGAUGGAGAGAAACUGUUCCUCCUGCCAUCAUUGCAGGCCUACAACACAAGCUGCCUUCUCACCACACUGACUGUCAGCAUCAAAGCCACAUCUUAAGGAAGCAUGGCUUCAAAGAGACACGGAUGAAACAAGACAACCCAGGCUAGAGAAGUAAACUGCCAAGUAUAGAGUACCUUGCAGCUUGUUCUCUUAUCAGUAUCAGUCGAUUUCUUUUUACCUCUAGAAUUUAUUCGAGGUGUUUACCCUGAAUUUGUUUUUGUAGUAUAGAACAUGUAAACAAUAAACAGUAUCUACAGUAAUCAGAACACACAGGAAAAUUCAACUCGUGGUUUUACAAAAGUAUAUAAAAACACAUAUACAUACAUGUAGAUAUAUUCACCUACGUACACACAUACGUUUAUUUUUCAGGGAAUACAGGUAAAACCACCCUCAGGUAGAAAGGGAUUCCAGACUGAACUCUACACUGUGUUUUGCAGUAGAAGGGCAAUCUUAAACCCCUCACAUUACUGUACACUCUUCUCAAUCACAGCUCUUCUUUUUGUUUCCAAACGACUUUCAAAUUAAGAAAAAAAAAAAUCAACUAUGCCCUAUAGGAGUGCUUUUUAUCAAAGAAUAUACAAUUUCUUACUCCACAAGCAUUUUGUCAUUAUAGUAAGUACAAAGGCCCUAAAUUUCAGUAAGGAAAGUGAUUUUAAAUGAAUAUUCCAUAAUCACCACCACAACAGAAGUCCAGGAACAUGUUCUUCAGAGCUCUGUUUCACCUUCAGUUUAGUAGUGCUCCAACUACACAAACAUUACAGACAAUCUGAAAACAUUUCAAAUCUCUGAUUGCUUACAA